rnacentral:rRNA from 1 species
CACUAAGCUUGCUCCGUACUUCCUAGUGAUUUCUGGUUGAUCCCGGCAGAGGCUACUGCUAUUGGGAUUCGAUUAAGCCAUGCGAGUUGAAUGAAUUUAGAUUCAUGGCGUACGGCUCAGUAACACGUGGAUAACUUACCCUUAGGACUGGGAUAACUCUGGGAAACUGGGGAUAAUACCGGAUAUUAGGCUAUGGCUGGAAUGCUUUGCCUUUGAAAUGUUUCUUGUAUUCGCCUAAGGAUAGAUCUGCGGCUGAUUAGGUCGUUGGUGGGGUAAUGGCCCACCAGGCCUAUGAUCGGUACGGGUUGUGAGAGCAAGAGCCCGGAGAUGGAACCUGAGACAAGGUUCCAGACCCUACGGGGUGUAGCAGGCGCGAAACCUCCGCAAUGUACGAAAGUGCGACGGGGGGAUCCCAAGUGUUAUUCUUAAUAGGAUAACUUUUCAUUAGUGUAAAAAGCUUUUAGAAUAAGAGCUGGGCAAGACCGGUGCCAGCCGCCGCGGUAACACCGGCAGCUCAAGUGGUAGCUGUUUUUAUUGGGCCUAAAGCGUUCGUAGCCGGUUUUUGAUAGUCUUGGUGAAAAGCUAUGGGCUUACUGUUAGAAUUGCUGAAGAUACUGUCAGACUUUGAGUCGGGAGAGGUAGAGGUACUACCGGGGUAGGGGUGAAAAUCUAUAUCUGGGAGGACCACUGUGGCGAAGGNUCUAACUGGACCGAUCUGACGGUGAGUACGAAAGCCGGG